AUGGCGGCGGCGAAACCGACCCCCACCGACUCGCUCUCAUUCUGCCUCGCGCAGCUCACUGCAGCGGCCGUGGAAGGGCCGGGUGGGGGAAAGGACUCGACAGCCAACGAAGCCCCCUUGAGCCGCGCGCUCCUAGCCCUCCGCACGCGCCACGUCAAGGCGGCGGGGGAUAUUGAGCGUUUCCGGGCGCGCGGUGGGCUCCGCCCCCUGCUCGCACUGCUGCGGCGCACGGCAGCAGUGGCAGCGGGACCCGCCCCGCCCCCAGCAGGCCCCGGCCCCGCCCCUUCACCAGCCACGUCGACGGGCGCCGCCGGUCCCGCCCCUUCAUCGGGUCCCGCCCCCCCCGCUGCUGCGUCAGCGCCUGCGCGCUUACGCAGAACGCUCGAUUUGGCCCUCAGCAUCCUUGCCAACUGCUGCACGGAGGGGGCGUGUCGGACUGAAGUGCGCAGACUCGGCGGUAUUCUCCCACUUGUAAGCAUUCUACAGUGUGUGAGGACUGACAGCAUACAAAACCGGACAGCCCGAGCCUUAGGGAACCUGGCUAUGGAAGCUGAAAGCUGUGGAGAUAUCCACAGAGCUGGUGCUGUGCCUCUGCUGGUUGAGAUCCUCACUGCCUCUCAGGAUUCACAGUGUCUCCAGAGUGUCGUCCGUGCCCUCCGCAACUUGGCUGAUUCACCUCAGCACCGCCUGGCCCUUGCUCAACAGGGUGCAGUUAGGCCCUUGGCAGAGCUCCUGGCUACCACUUCUGACCCUGCUUUGACUUCAGCCCUGGCCCGGGCCCUGUUGGAGCUAAGCCGAGGCUGCUCACGGGCCUGUGCUGAACAGCUAAGCCUAGGUGGGGGAUUGGGACCCCUAGUGAGUCUGGCCACUCACCCCAAGCGAACAGUACGUGAUGCAGCCAUUCUGACUCUGGCCAACCUAUGUGCCCAGGGCCUAGUUCGUCCUGCUUUGGGCAAUGCUGGCGGCGUGGAAGUACUACUUAGUGAACUCCGAAGGAGAAGGGGGCCCAGUGGGGCAGGCCCAGUGUCCCAGCAGGCCCUGGUACGGGCUGUCUGCCUUUUAUGCCGUGAGGCCAUUAACCGAGCACGACUAAGGGAUGCUGGGGGUCUGGAGCUGCUCAUGUCCCUUCUGAGAGACCCACGGGCAGGAGCCUUUCACCCUCGUGUGGUAGCAGCACUUGUUGGUUUCCUGUAUGACACGGGGGCCCUAGGAAGACUUCAGGCACUAGGGCUUGUGCCAUUGCUGGCAGGGCAGCUAAGUGGUGAAGUUGGAGAAGAAGAGGAAGAGGGCCGUGAGGCUGCCUCCUGUGACUUUCCUGAGGAACGAACCCCAGGGCCGACAGAGGCUGGGAGCUUCCGGAGCCUCAGGUCAUGGCUAAUAUCAGAAGGCUACGUUGUGGCGCCUGGAGAUAUCUCCCCAGACUGGUCCCCCGAACACUGCCCUCUGCCCGAGCUUCCAGCUGUUCCAGUCAGAUCCCUCCAGCAGCAGUGUUCACAGGACAGCCUUUCCUUUUCCACAGUGCCCCACCCCCCACCAACCUCUACUCCAAACCCGGCCACCCUGGGCCUGGAAACCCCAAGCACCUCCCAGCUAGAGACUGCUGGCCACUCAGGCAACAUCCCAAAUCCUUCGCCACCCCCACUGAGGACAUCUGGUCGGGCUGAGGAGUUGUGGGGACGCGAAGGGCCAGCACUCUUACUCUUGUCACGCUUCUCGCAGGCCCCAGAUCCCAGUGGGGCACUGGUGACUGGCCCAGCACUACAAGGUCUGCUGGGCUAUGUGACUGGGGCCCCCGGGCCCCCAAAUCCUCGGGCCUUAAGAAUUCUGGCCCGUCUCACCUGCAACCCGGCUUGCCUAGAAGCUUUUGUCCGAAGCUACGGUGCUGCCCUCAUCCGGGCCUGGCUGGUGUUGGGUGUUGCCCCAGAUGACUAUCGGUCAGCCAAGCUUCCCCGGGUCCGCGCAGGGGAUCGAAAGCAUAGAGAGCUCGGUGAGAUGUUACUCCAGAACCUGACCGUCCAGGCCGAGUCUCCCUUUGGAGUGGGAGCACUUACCCACUUGCUUCUCUCUGGGACCCCAGAAGACCGAGUGGCCUGUGCACUGACUCUGCCCUUCAUCUGCAGGAAACCCGCUCUCUGGAGACGUCUGCUUCUGGACCAAGGUGGUCUCCGCCUCCUUCUGACAGCACUUUCUCGGCCAGCCCCUCAUCCACUCUUCCUCUUUUUUGCUGCUGACUCCCUCUCCUGCCUUCGAUGCCUCAUCUCUCCAUCUGUGGACUCUGCCCAGCCUCCAGCCGAUUCUUCUCCAACCUCCCCUUGCCUGUACGGGCAACUGCUGGGCCCUACCCCAUCCCUUGUCCCUGACCUCCACUUCCUGCUGGACUCAGGCCUCCGCCUACCUGCCAUUCGGGCCUCUGCAACGGAUGCCUCCCCCUUUUUCAGAGCCUUGCUAUCAGGAGGCUUUGCCGAGGCUCACUUGAGUGUGGUACCACUGAGAGGUCUCUCCCCGGGGGCUGCUUGGCCUAUUCUGCACCAUCUCCAUGGCUGCCGGGGCUGUGGGGCUGCCCUACAGCCCAUCCCACCUCCAGGCCAACCCCUCCUGGGCUCUGAGGCAGAGGCUGCCCUGGAGGCAGCUGGCAGAUUUCUACUGCCUAUCCUAGAAGAGGAACUGGAAGAGGCUGUGGGGAGUGUGCACCUGGGGCCUUGUGGUCCCCCUGAGGCAGUAGGCGAGGUGUUCCGGCUUGGAGGAACCCGCCUCGCUUCAAAAUGUGCCCACUGGACCUUGGGGCCUGGCCGGAGCCCACAAGCCCGGGCAACAGCCCUGGCUGGACUAGUAGAGGCAGCAGGCGAGGAGGGCGGGCCCCUGACUGAGGCCCUUUUGGGGGCUGUGAUGGGAAUGAGAGGGAGGCUGUGACUAGGGCCACAGCCCCAGGACUCUGAGGUUCCCUGGUACCUGGACAGAGGAGAUGCUCUAUAGGACCUUAAGCCUGGCCCCAGGGACCAGAAAAGGAUGCUUCUCUGGAAAAGGAGAACUGUUGCCUGGGGGGAGUUGAGGGGAGGGGGAGGGAGGGAGAGGGCAGAUUCCAGGGAAGAGGAGCCAUGGAAAGUACAAGAAACUAGAGGGGGAGAUAGGGUAAAGAAAGAAGAAUGAGAAUGGCCCGAGGAAGCAAAAUGGAAGGCCAGAGGGCUCGGGAAAGAUACGGAGAACACAGACCUAGGAGGACUAGAGCUGAAGAAGGCCCUCCGCACCCAAGAGGAGCCCCAUGCAGAGAUGCUCUUUUGUCUGACCUGGAGUCUACAACAUCCCACAUCCCUCGGGCUGGGGCUCUUAGGGACCAGCCCCAAGAAGCCACUCCGGCUCCUCCUCCCUAUACCCAGC